AGGAUUUAUUAUUUUGUUAUUUUGGGACAACACUUAAUUAAAAAGAAAACUUAUGUCAGAUUACAGAUUUAUCAGAUGACCUUUGCUCUUCAAUUAAGGGCUCACAGGAGCAAUUUUGUACUUGAAUGCAAUCUUUAUCAAAAUACCCAACAGCGAUGACCCAGAAUACCCAAAUGAAUACAGCAGGUCCUCAAGGAUAUUCCUGGAUGAGGUACCAGUAGAUCCAUCUUCACCACUAUCAUUGUAAUCACAAUCAGUUCCGUACACAUUAAAGGUGGGGUUCAUCAAGCAAGGGGGGGGGGGUAGAGCUCACCGUUCCGCGCAAAAAUUGUUGAUUGACAUUUCUGACAAGAAAAAUCAUGUCUUGAGCAGGGCCCAUUUUACAAGACAACGGGUGAAGAAUUCCCCGAAUCUGUAAGGCUUCAUAAGGAUUUCGUGUUUCAUUUUCAAAAAAAUUCGCGCCCGAGAAGUGCGGGAAAAUCCGUCAUUUCGUCGAGCGGUUGCCAGUUUUCAAUAAUUGGCGGCAAAUUUUUCUCAGCACUUUCUUUCUUGUAGAAAAAGAGUGUAAAUUACAAAAAUAAGAUUAAAAUACGUCACAAGCAUAAAUAUGAGUAUGCAUAGUCCUGAUACGUUUUGCGAACUUCACUUUCUUUUAUUUACAUAUUCAAAUUAUUUUAACUGCAUAAAAGCUAAGUCACAGUUGGCCACUCUAUUGAACAAUAAAACGUGAAAAAGACCACUUUGAUUUUGAAUAUUGUUUCUUCGACGGGAAAUGUAGUGGAAAAUGUAAUGUAGUUAGAGAAAAGGAUAAUUUUGAUAAUUAUGAGAGAAAAUAGAAUCUGAAGUGUAACAUUGCUCCAAUAUUUUGUGACAAUGACGCAACAAAAGGUCUAGAAAGCAUUGUUAAAAGGACCCCAAAGCAUAAUAAACUAAAUGAAGAUUAACUCUGCGAAAAAGCUUUUCAUAACUUGGAAUGAAGCCAAUUGGUUUAACGACAAUUAGAUACAAGUUAUAAAUCCAUUUUAAAAUUGGAUCUAGAACAUAAAGGUUUUAUGGUGCAAAAUGCUUCAAUUUAUAACAUGAUAUUUCUGUGGUCAGGCUUAACACGAGGUUAACAGUUGACUGAGGAGCAUGUGUCUCCUUAGCGGGAUUUUCACUGACGUCAGAAGGGGAAGCAAACACUGAUUAGAACCAUGUUAAAACUUAAAAACAAGAUAUUAGCUCAAAGGAUAGUUUAAGUUGACUGAGCAAAUCUGUCAGAGCAUACGUCAGUGGCACGUUGCUUAACACAAAAGCACUCUAUUAAAUCCAAAAAUAAUAGCUACAAAGCACUUUUAAUGAUAUCGAUACAAUGAUACAGUAAUAUAAUCAUACAAUCAGUGGACAAGAAUUGUUAUUUCCAGCUCUUAUUAUAUGAUAAAAUAGAUAAUUUUUGGACACCGCUAGACAAACCUCAGCGAUGGCUGGUGCAAGAAGCCAAAAAGAAGCUGUACAUUUAGGAUGGUUGUAGUGUGUGUGUUCUAUCAACACGGACAAUUAUACUGUAGAUAAGUAUUAUAUACUAUUAUCAGUAAUUCGGAAUACACGUCCAUGGAAGGUAUUGUCGUACAGCUUGACUUCAUUUGAUUUGACAGUACCUAUUGAUAAGAAAUUUAGGCCCUAAUGAUGAAGUCUAUGUUAAUAAGAAGCUUUCUGAGGCCUCAGCUUAAAAAAAUGGUUUUCAUAUGCGGGUACUUACUGUAUUAUUGCUAGAAUAUUAGUUGUAUACAUUAGUGUGAUUUAUACAAGCAAAUCGAUCGAUGUUUCUUGUGCAUGGCUUUAGUGUGCGUUUAACGGUGAUUAAUUUUCUUUGAAUGCUUAGUCUUCUAAGGUCCUCAUACCAUUAUAUCGAAGCCAGCAUCGCAAAAAGACUUACGAUUUGGAUCAUAAAUAAACCUACCGAUAAAGCCGCCUUGAUUCCAAGGCCUCCGGGUAUUUUUCCAUCAAAUAAAGUAGUAGGCUGUCUACGUAGCUCCGUAAUUCCAUAUUCUCCACUUUCAGAACUGAAAGAAAAUAAUCGAUAAGACAAAUAGCAUUUACAAUGGAAAGGAAACAGCAAAUAAGAAAGUGAUGAUAAACAUGAUAGAGAGCAAUUCGAAAUCAAGUGAAAGGCUACUCAAUACAUGAUGCUUUAAGUGCUGCAAUAAACUAAGUGAAAGAAAGUGAUUUUAUUACAUGAUGCAAUAAAAUUAAAAGUUUUAAGUAAGGUUAUUCAAAUUAUGUCCGAAAACAAAAAUCUCGCUUGAAAAGGUUUGAAAAGAAGGCCAUCAAAACGGCGUCAGGUACACGAAAGUUCCGACUCUUGUCAUAUUGAGCGACUUAUUUUCAUGUGAAUGUAAAAAAUGUUAAAUAUUCUAUUUGAUUAAAGUAUCUAAGCUUCAUAACAAAAUAUUUUGCCACACCUAUGAAUAUUUAACAAAGAAACUCUUGAAACAGUGUAUUAUCUAAAAAAACUUGAAAAUAUGGAAAGUCACUAGAACUGUUGACGUCAGUGGUUGGUAAGUUAGGAUAUUAUUGGCAGAAAUCACAGGGUACAUGAUACAAUAAGAACAGUUUUGUUUACUUCUUCACAUGUAGCAUAUGGCCUCACUGGUGGUAGCAACCCAAACCACAAGUAGUUACAGAACAAAAUAGCAUAAAUCUGAAUCCAACGCAACAUGACAACAGAGACCAACGUUGGUUGAAAUAAAUUUUUACUGAUAGGAGAAAAACAAAGCAACCCAGGUCAACAGAGACCGUUCCUUUCAAGUUGUGGAUGAGCAUUUCACGGAAAAACUAGUCUUGAGUUUGAAAAUGGCUUUGAAAAUACGUAGGAUCUCACGUAAAAAUAUUCUGGAGUUAUUUAAUUCGAAUUUGAUUGACGAAAUAUUAGACACGUAAAUGCAGUUUCAAAAACAAAAUGAGCAGCAAACCCAGUUUCAAUAUUGUGCAAAAUGCUUCAUUUAAAACACAGCUAUGGUUAACUAUGCAUUAAAAACUUAUGUCUUGGAAAGAAAAUUUAGCAAAAAUAAUGUUUAGGCGAACUGGACAAACGUGGAUAUCAAGAUAUUGCGCCAUAAUACAUUCUUGCAUAAGAUCCAUAGCUGUUUGAUGAUACAAGUAAUUUAACACAAAAAUAUCGACAAGAAACUCGAUGUUUCAUGAAUUCAUACUUCUACGAAUUUAAAAACGAAGUGACACUCCACAGAACAAGAACCACUCACUAUUUAGUGGCGAAGAUAGUGUGGGACAGAGGUGGCAAAAACCCCCUGUAAAAAUAAACAAUUAUUUUGUCGGAAAACGUCUGAUCUUGUCGGAAAUAUAACAUGGAUGCCUAUUUUUCAAGUAUAUGUCAUUUGGAAAGAAAAGAUUUUGAAGCUGUUAAAAAUGCUUUUUUUGUUUUAUUUUAGUUCUAAUGUCAUGUUUUGUUCACAUUCAAUGCUUAUUGGUGGAUUAUUAGAUUUUUGUCGGGAAAUCUGAAUUUCUCAAACCUCCUAUGAAUUUUCCUAUCUAAGCCAUUUAUCUAUAUUAAAACAGAUAGAAUUUCAUUUUUUAAUUGCAACAUGAUUUAUGUAAUUAUAUAGAAUCAAAGUUGCACUGCUUUCAAACAAUGAAUCAAAAUUAUUUUCACCCACUGACUUUUUCUUGCAGAGCCUGGUUUAGUGGUUUAGUGCCAAAAUCCUCUACAAAAUACAAAAGGCUUUGCAGAUUGCUAGCGAAUGUUACAAUAAAAGAGUAGACGAAUCACGGUCGAAACAAUACAAACCUUUGACUUCUUUGGAGUCUCGGUUUCAUUAUACUCUGAUAUCCAACAGUCAACGCAUAUUUCCCCAGAAGGAUUAAGGUUGCGCCUGUGAGGGCCAAUGGCAACCCAUUUAAAGAAUUGCAUUCCAACGCUAUCAGCUACUUCAAAGAUCCCAGCAUCAACAGAACUCCAAAAUGCCUUGAACGAACAGUUUAUGUCUGUUUUCACCAAUGAAAACAUAAACAAUAUACCCCAACAGUCACCAAAAUACCCCAGUAUGGAAAACAUCAACUUUGGUCUUGAAGGUGUAAUAACAAUUUCACAAAGCUUCUGAUCCAGACAAACUUCCAGCUAGAUACUUGAAAGAGCAACUGACACAGUAAGAUUAUAUCACCAUCUAUACACCCAAAACAACAAGGGAAAUCUUCCUUCUGCAUGGAAACAUGGAAUUGUUUGUUCUGUGUAAAAAAGGCAUCAAAAAGUCUGCCAGCCAACUACAGACCAAUAUCCUUAACAGCCAUCCCUUGUAAACUCAUUGAGCACUACAUUGUAUCCAAGAUCCGGUCUCAUCUAAAUAAAUAUAACAUUAUUACAAAUAAACAGCAUGGUUUUUGGUCGGGGAUGUCAUGCAAAACGCAACUAUUAGAGGCUAUGAAUGAUUGGACAUCCACAUUAAAUCAGGGUAGUGGCCAAGUGGAUGUUCUCCUGCUUGAUUUCAGGAAAGCCUUUGAUGUUGUCCCAAAUUGCCGCCUUUUAUGCAAAUUUGAAAUGUACAGCAGCUCAGAUCUGACAUCCAAAUAGAUAGCCGGAUUCCUAAACGGCCGAACUCUGGAAGUUUGUUGUAAAUGGUACAACUUCUAGUAUUGAUAAAGUAUCUUCUGGAGUGCCUCAGGGUACUGUACUGGGCCCUCUGUUGUUCUUGAUGUAUAUCAACAAUAUUGGGAAAGGU